rnacentral:rRNA from 1 species
GAUGAACGCUGGCGGCGUGCCUAAUACAUGCAAGUCGAGCGAACGGACGAGAAGCUUGCUUCUCUGAUGUUAGCGGCGGACGGGUGAGUAACACGUGGAUAACCUACCUAUAAGACUGGGAUAACUUCGGGAAACCGGAGCUAAUACCGGAUAAUAUUUUGAACCGCAUGGUUCAAAAGUGAAAGACGGUCUUGCUGUCACUUAUAGAUGGAUCCGCGCUGCAUUAGCUAGUUGGUAAGGUAACGGCUUACCAAGGCAACGAUGCAUAGCCGACCUGAGAGGGUGAUCGGCCACACUGGAACUGAGACACGGUCCAGACUCCUACGGGAGGCAGCAGUAGGGAAUCCUCCGCAAAGGGCGAAAGCCUGACGGAGCAACGCCGCGUGAGUGAUGAAGGUCUUCGGAUCGUAAAACUCUGUUAUUAGGGAAGAACAUAUGUGUAAGUAACUGUGCACAUCUUGACGGUACCUAAUCAGAAAGCCACGGAUAACUACGUG